rnacentral:rRNA from 1 species
ACGGAGGAUCCGAGCGUUAUCCGGAUUUAUUGGGUUUAAAGGGUGCGUAGGUGGACUUAUAAGUCAGUGGUGAAAGUUUGCAGCUUAACUGUAAAAUUGCCGUUGAAACUGUAGGUCUUGAGUGCAAAUGAGGUAGGCGGAAUGUGUUGUGUAGCGGUGAAAUGCUUAGAUAUAACACAGAACACCGAUUGCGAAGGCAGCUUACUGGGAUGCAACUGACACUGAUGCACGAAGGCGUGGGGAUCAAACAG